rnacentral:rRNA from 1 species
UUAAAGAGUGCGUAAUAGCUCACUAGUCAAGCGACUCGGCGUCGAUAAUAAUCGGGCAUAAGUCCGGUGCCGAAGCUGUGGUCCCGCCUCAGGCGGGAGGUAGGGGAGCAUUCCAGCCUGCGUUGAAGGUGCCACCGUGAGGGGUGCUGGAGCGGCUGGAAGCGAAACUGUAGGCAUGAGUAACGAUAAGAAGGGUGAAAAACCCUUCCACCGCAAACCCAAGGGUUCCUGAUCAACGCUAAUCGGAUCAGGGUUAGUCGAGACCUAAGGUGUACCCGGUGAGGCCGGGGAAGCCGAUGGCAAAGCGGUUAAAUAUUCCGCUACCGACUCUAGCGUUAGGCUAAGGCGUGACGCAGAAGUGACACUCCCGCCACGCGACGAAUUGCGUGGUUGAAGGGCGUAGGCCGGGGGGCAGGCAAAUCCGUCUCCCGCUAAGGCUGAACCCCGACAGUACCCGGACCCGCAAGGGGAAGGGAUAGUGGAGGUAAUCAUGCUGCCAAGAAAAGCGUCGUAGUUUGCUGGAGCCGCUCGUACCCCAAACCGACACAGGUGGACUGGUAGAGCAUACCAAGGCGCUUGAGAGAACUCUGCUGAAGGAACUCGGCAAAUUACUCCCGUAAGUUCGCGAGAAGGGAGCCUGGCUUUGCGCAAGCAAUGUCCAGGGGCACAGACCAGGGGGUGGCGACUGUUUACUAAAAACACAGGGCUCUGCGAAGUCGCAAGACGACGUAUAGGGUCUGACGCCUGCCCGGUGCCGGAAGGCUAAAAGGCGGAGGG